rnacentral:rRNA from 1 species
AGCGAACGCUGGCGGCAGGCCUAACACAUGCAAGUCGAACGAAGCCUUCGGGCUUAGUGGCGGACGGGUGAGUAACACGUGGGAACGUACCUUUUGGUUCGGAAUAACGCAGAGAAAUUUGCGCUAAUACCGGAUGAGCCCUUCGGGGGAAAGAUUUAUCGCCGAAAGAUCGGCCCGCGUUGGAUUAGGUAGUUGGUGUGGUAAAGGCGCACCAAGCCUACGAUCCAUAGCUGGUCUGAGAGGAUGAUCAGCCACACUGGGACUGAGACACGGCCCAGACUCCUACGGGAGGCAGCAGCGGGGAAUCUUGCGCAAUGGGCGAAAGCCUGACGCAGCCAUGCCGCGUGAAUGAUGAAGGUCUUAGGAUUGUAAAAUUCUUUUACCAGGGACGAUAAUGACGGCACCUGGAGAAAAAGCCCCGGCUAACUUCGUGCCAGCAGCCGCGGUAACAC